rnacentral:rRNA from 1 species
GACGAACGCUGGCGGCGUGCUUAACACAUGCCAGUCGAACGGAAAGGCCCUGCUUGCGGGGUUCUCGUGUGGCGAACGGGCGAGUAACACGUGCGUGAUCUGCCCCUUUCUUUGGGUUAAGUCUCGUCAACUGGGUCUAAUACUUGCUAGAUCCUUGCUUUAGGUGGUGUGUUCGAAAGAUUAGUUUCGGUUAGGGAUGAGCUCUCGGCAUAUCAGCUCUUUGGUAGGGUAAUGGCCUAGCAAGGCGUCACCGGGUGGCCGGCCUGAGAGGGUGGACGGCAAGAUUGGGACGGAGAUACGGGGCAGACGCAGGCGGUAGGCAGCAGUGGGGAAGAGUGCAAAAGAGGAGCAAGGCGGAUGCAGCGAAGGCGCGUGGGGGAUGACGGCCUGCGGGUUGUAAAGUCCUUACGGGCAUGACGAAGCCCUUGUGGUGACGGUAGUGGUAGAAGAAGCACCGGCUAACUACGUG